AUCCUGAUUCUAAAAUCUGUGUUCUUAGCUGAUGUAUUAAUUUUCAGAAAAAAAAAAUACUUGACAGCAGCAGUUUCAGAGAAGAAAAUUUGAGCUCUGUUUCCUGGGUAUCAGUCCACCAUGGCAGAGAGGUCAAGAGUAGUUCGUGUCAUGGUAGGCAGGAAGCAGAGGAAGUGGGAGGCAGGAAGAGGUCAGGGCAGGAUAUGUUCCCAAGAACAUACUCCCAGGGACCUAUUUUUUUCCAGCUAGUCCUUGCCUCUCACCUCUCAUCACAACCUGAUUACGCCAUUUUACUAUGACUCCACCAAAGGAUGGAUCCCUUCAUCAGCAGGCAGUGUCCCAAUCACCCUGGCACGUGAGCAUGUAUGUCACUGUAACCAGCAAGGCUGACUUUGCAGAUGAGAUGAUGUGGGAUCAGCGAAGUAAGUAUGCAUGGUGAUAAUCCGGGCGACUUCAUUGGCCCAUAACACUAAGCAGAGAACACCAAGUGGACCCUAGUGAAUCACAACGGGUGCUUCUGUAAAGCCUAUCCCAAGUUGGACAACCACAGGGAUGCAUCUUACCACACAGAAAGUGUCAACUCAGUCACUCUUCUCUGUGAGUGCCAUCACAGACUGCGUCAUCACACCCAUUUUGCAGAUGAGAGAACUGAGGCCUACCCCAGGUUGGCACACUGUCCACCGUAACCAGAGGGCCGGGCUGGCUGACUCUAUAGUCUGUAUUUUGGAUGCUCUGUUGCCUCUUGGAAGGAAACAGGGGCUGUGUAGAAUCAUUCUGAAGUGAAGAAAAGGCUGACUUGUAAAAUAUAAUUAAAACAACCCAAGGCAAGUUGGGGGAGUGCAGGAAGGGUGAGCCACACACACUUUCACGUGGGUGGGGAACGGCCGCUGUCACCGUCACUGGCAUCUGCCAAGUCUGGUUCAUCAGGAUGUGGCAGCUGGCUGAGGGCCUCUGGUCGCCACUAGAUUGUGCCCUCCCCCUGGCCUUUGCCUUCUGUCCCCGGUGCCUGGAGACACCUGCUUCUGACUUUCCACGCCCUCCUCUUUCUAGGAGGCUGUGUGAAUCAGCGGCUGAGAGAGACUAGCUCUGGGCUGCCUCUAUCUGUGUAUGUAGAAAUAAAUGCAUAAAUAAAUGGCCUUUAAAA